rnacentral:rRNA from 1 species
AUUGAACGCUGGCGGCAGGCCUAACACAUGCAAGUCGAGCGGAUGAAGGGAGCUUGCUCCUGGAUUCAGCGGCGGACGGGUGAGUAAUGCCUAGGAAUCUGCCUGGUAGUGGGGGAUAACGUCCGGAAACGGGCGCUAAUACCGCAUACGUCCUGAGGGAGAAAGUGGGGGAUCUUCGGACCUCUCGCUAUCAGAUGAGCCUAGGUCGGAUUAUCUAGUUGGUGGGGUAAAGGCCUACCAAGGCGACGAUCCGUAACUGGUCUGAGAGGAUGAUCAGUCACACUGGAACUGAGACACGGUCCAGACUCCUACGGGAGGCAGCAGUGGGGAAUAUUGGACAAUGGGCGAAAGCCUGAUCCAGCCAUGCCGCGUGUGUGAAGAAGGUCUUCGGAUUGUAAAGCACUUUAAGUUGGGAGGAAGGGCAGUAAGUUAAUACCUUGCUGUUUUGACGUUACCAACAGAAUAAGCACCGGCUAACUUCGUG